GAGGCCGUAUUUGGUAAAGCAAUAUGAACGGCAUAUGUAUGUGGGUUCGAUUCCCACCGGCCUCA
rnacentral:tRNA from 1 species